UACGUAGGUGGCAAGCGUUGUCCGGAAUUAUUGGGCGUAAAGCGCGCGCAGGCGGUCCUUUAAGUCUGAUGUGAAAGCCCACGGCUCAACCGUGGAGGGUCAUUGGAAACUGGGGGACUUGAGUACAGAAGAGAAGAGUGGAAUUCCACGUGUAGCGGUGAAAUGCGUAGAGAUGUGGAGGAACACCAGUGGCGAAGGCGACUCUUUGGUCUGUAACUGACGCUGAGGCGCGAAGGCCAGGGGAGCAAACGGGG
rnacentral:rRNA from 1 species